UACAGAGGGUGCAAGCGUUAAUCGGAAUUACUGGGCGUAAAGCGUGCGUAGACGGUUGCGUAAGUCACACGUGAAAUCCCCGGGCUCAACCUGGGAACUGCGUUUGAAACUGGGAAGCUAGAGUGUGGAAGAGGGGGGUGGAAUUCCAGGUGUAGCAGUGAAAUGCGUAGAGAUCUGGAGGAACACCGAUGGCGAAGGCAGCCCCCUGGGCUAACACUGACGCUCAUGCACGAAAGCGUGGGGAGCAAACAGG
rnacentral:rRNA from 1 species